UACGGAAGGGGCAAGCGUUGUUCGGAAUCAUUGGGCGUAAAGGGCGCGUAGGUGGUUCUGUAUGUCUACCGUGAAAGCGUACGGCUCAACCGUAUUUUGUCGGUGGAAACUGCAGGACUUGAGGCUGGGAGGGGCUGGUGGAAUUCCCGGUGUAGUGGUGAAAUGCGUAGAUAUCGGGAGGAACACCAGUGGCGAAGGCGACUUCCUGGCCUGUUCUUGACGCUGAGGCGCGAAAGCUAGGGUAGCAAACGGG
rnacentral:rRNA from 1 species